rnacentral:lncRNA from 1 species
CCCAACACACUCACUCUAUACCCCCCUGCUUAGUCAGAUACUUGCCUCCCUAUAACGAGACCAAGCUGUAUCAGGCCUGGCUGGGCGAGGCAGGCAUCAUGCCAGCUGCUCUCCCUGGCGCGACGGGAAACCUCACGUCUCAAAGACACUGCCGCAGCCAAGAUUGGCACGCUGCAAAGCAAAACUGUAAGACAAAUUAUUUUCCCUCCUCUUGCUCGCUCCCCGAUCCCCCUCUUUUAAUGUUUCUCAUCAUUGUUAUUCUGUUGUGCCUCCAGUCGUGCUCAGCAACCGCCCAGCAGGCCAAUUGUUCUGCUCUCUCCAGCCAGGCACGACUUAGGGAAGGGCCUAGAAAAACACUCUGUCCCGUUCACACAUAGAACAUUGUUGAGUAGAAUAGGAUAGAAUACAAUCUCAGGAUUCUAUUGUCCACUGUUAUCUCCACCACACCACUCCACCUCCUCCCAUCCCCACCACACCUCUCCACCUCCUCCCAUCCCCACCAAACCUCUCCACCUCCUCCCAUCCCCACCACACCUCUCCACCUCCUCCCAUUCCCCCAACACACCUCUCCACCUCCUCCCAUCCCCACCACACCUCUCUACCUCCUCCCAUCCCCACCACACCUCUCCACCUCCCAUCCCCACCACACCUCUCCACCUCCUCCCAUCCACACCUCUCCACCUCCUCCCAUCCCCACCACACCUCUCCACCUCCUCCCAUCCCCACCACACCUCUCCACCUCCUCCCAUUCCCCCAACACACCUCUCCACCUCCUCCCAUCCCCACCACACCUCUCCACCUCCUCCCAUCCCCAUCCCUUAACACCUCUCAACUCCUCCCAUCCCCACCAAACCUCUCCACCUCCUCCCAUCCCCACCACACCUCUCCACCUCCUCCCAUCCCCACCACACCUCUCCACCUCCUCCCAUCCCCGCCACACCUCUCCACCUCCUCCCAUCCCCACCACACCUCUCCACCUCCUCCCAUCCCCAUCCCUUAACACCUCUCAACCUCCUUCCAUCCCCACCAAACCUCUCCACCUCCUCCCAUCCCCACCACACCUCUCCACCUCCUCCCAUCCCCACCACACCUCUCCACCUCCUCCCAUCCCCGCCACACCUCUCCACCUCCUCCCAUCCCCACCACACCUCUCCACCUCCUCCCAUCCCCACCACACCUCUCCACCUCCUCCCAUCCCCACCACACCUCUCCACCUCCUCCCAUCCCCACCACACCUCUCCACCUCCCAUCCCCACCACACCUCUCCACCUCCUCCCAUCCACACCUCUCCACCUCCUCCCAUCCCCACCACACCUCUCUACCUCCUCCCAUCCCCGCCACACCUCUCCACCUCCUCCCAUCCCACCACACCUCCCCAACUCCUCCCAUCCC